UCAUCCGCUUGGAAAUUGAUGAAAGAUGCUCUUGCCUUGAGAAAAUUGAUCGCUUGGAGAUUUUCCAGCAAUAUAUACGUGAUUUAGAGAGCGAAGAGGAGGAGCAAAGGAAACUGCGGAUGGGCAUACACCGUUGAUUCAAAUAGGAAGAAUUGAGGAAAGCUGAACGUAAAAAUCGUGAUGAGUUCCGAAAACUGAUGGAAGAG